UACGAAGGGGGCUAGCGUUGUUCGGAAUUACUGGGCGUAAAGCGUACGUAGGCGGCUUUGUAAGUUAGAGGUGAAAGCCCGGAGCUCAACUCCGGAAUUGCCUUUAAGACUGCAUCGCUUGAAUCAUGGAGAGGUUAGUGGAAUUCCGAGUGUAGAGGUGAAAUUCGUAGAUAUUCGGAGGAACACCAAUGGCGAAGGCAGCUCGCUGGGACGUGACUGACGCUGAGACGCGAAAGCGUGGGGAGCAAACAGG
rnacentral:rRNA from 1 species